GACGAACGCUGGCGGCGUGCUUAACACAUGCAAGUCGAACGGUAAGGCCCUUCGGGGUACACGAGUGGCGAACGGGUGAGUAACACGUGGGUGAUCUGCCCUGCACUUCGGGAUAAGCCUGGGAAACUGGGUCUAAUACCGGAUAGGACUCCUGGCUUCAUGGUUGGUGGUGGAAAGCUUUUGCGGUGUGGGAUGGGCCCGCGGCCUAUCAGCUUGUUGGUGGGGUAAUGGCCUACCAAGGCGACGACGGGUAGCCGGCCUGAGAGGGUGACCGGUCACACUGGGACAGAGGUCCGGCCCAGACUCCGACGGGAGGCAGCAGUGGGGAAUAUUGCACCAUGGGCGCAAGCCUGAUGCAUCGACGCCGCGUGAGGGAUGACGGCCUUCGGGUUGUAAACCUCUUUCAGCUAUGACGAAGCGCAAGUGACGGUAGUAGCAGAAGAAGGACCGGCCAACUACGUGCCAGCCGCCGCCGUAA
rnacentral:rRNA from 1 species